rnacentral:rRNA from 1 species
AUUUUGUACAAUGGGGGAUACCCUGAUCCAGCCAUCCCGCGUGUACGAUGAAGGCCUUCGGGUUGUAAAGUACUUUUGGCAGAGAAGAAAAGUUACCUCCUAAUACGAUGUACUGCUGACGGUAUCUUCAGAAUAAGCACCGGCUACUACGUGCCAGCAGCCGCGGUAAUACGUAGGGUGCAAGCGUUAAUCGGAAUUACUGGGCGUAAAGCGUGUGUAGGCGGUUAGGAAAGAAAGAUGUGAAAUCCCAGGGCUCAACCUUGGAACUGCAUUUUUAACUGACGAGCUAGAGUAUGUCAGAGGGGGGUAGAAUUCCACGUGUAGCAGUGAAAUGCGUAGAUAUGUGGAGGAAUACCGAUGGCGAAGGCAGCCCCCUGGGAUAAUACUGACGCUCAGACACGAGAGCGUGGGGAGCAAACA